UUUUUUUUUUCUUUUUAUGUUAAGGUUAUGUGAAUGCUGCGCCCGUGAUGCACCGAUGGACUUUAUCAAAGAAGUGUAAAAGAGCCGAUGCAGCAUUACUAUAUUCCUAUUUUGACGUAGUGUAGUAACUUAUAAUUCCAAUGCCUGUUAUUUUAGCGUUUGAAUAAUGUAGCUUCUAAUUGUGUAUGUUCACAUUUUUAUAUGGGUUAACAUAUUACGUUGACCGUAGUGUUUAUAAAUGUAUGCUUUUAUUCGGAUUACUUGGUUCAAAUUUGUUAUCAAUCUCUUGUAAAGUUUAAAGUAAAACUCACCUUUAUUUUAAAGAUAAAAAACAGAUUAUAACUUGAUUUCAUAUUUUAUUACUAUAAUAUAACUUCGCUCUAAAGUGCAUGUUUUGUCUACCUUAUACAAAAUCAAACAACUAAUUUAAAAUGUGUAUAACUAAUUAAAGGUUAACCAUUUUUAA